rnacentral:rRNA from 1 species
UACGGAGGAGGCAAGCGUUAUCCGGAAUUAUUGGGCGUAAAGCGUCCGUAGAUGGUUUUGUCAGUCUGCUGUCAAAGCACAGGGCUUAACCCUGUAAAGGCAGUGGAAACUACAAGACUAGAGUGCAGUAGGGGCAGAGGGAAUUCCCAGUGUAGCGGUGAAAUGCGUAGAGAUGUGGAGGAACACCGAUGGCGAAGGCAGCCUCCUGGGCCAGCACUGACGCUCAUGCACGAAAGCGUGGGGAGCAAACAGG